rnacentral:rRNA from 1 species
UACGUAGGGUGCGAGCGUUAAUCGGAAUUAUUGGGCGUAAAGAGCGCGCAGGUGGUUGAUUAAGUCUGAUGUGAAAGCCCACGGCUUAACCGUGGAGGGUCAUUGGAAACUGGUCGACUUGAGUGCAGAAGAGGGAAGUGGAAUUCCAUGUGUAGCGGUGAAAUGCGUAGAGAUAUGGAGGAACACCAGUGGCGAAGGCGGCUUCCUGGUCUGUAACUGACACUGAGGCGCGAAAGCGUGGGGAGCGAACAGG